rnacentral:rRNA from 1 species
GAAGAUGCGAGCGUUAUCCGGAUUUAUUGGGUUUAAAGGGCGCGUAGGCGGGCUGUUAAGUCAGCGGUCAAAUCGUGCGGCUCAACCGUACCUUGCCGUUGAAACUGGUGGUCUUGAGUUCGGACAGGGCAGAUGGAAUUCGUGGUGUAGCGGUGAAAUGCUUAGAUAUCACGAAGAACUCCGACAGCGAAGGCAUUCUGCCGGGGCGAAACUGACGCUGAGGCUCGAAAGUGCGGGUAUCAAA